rnacentral:rRNA from 1 species
AGCUUCGGUUCCGCUGACGACCGGCGCACGGGUGCGUAACGCGUAUGAAACCUGCCUUAUACAGGGGGAUAGCCCGAAGAAAUUCGGAUUAAUACCCCAUAAUGAUAAGUUAUCGCAUGGUAAUUUAUUUAAAACUCCGGUGGUAUAAGAUGGUCAUGCGUGACAUUAGCUAGUUGGUGAGGUAACGGCUCACCAAGGCGACGAUGUCUAGGGGUUCUGAGAGGAAGGUCCCCCACACUGGUACUGAGACACGGACCAGACUCCUACGGGAGGCAGCAGUGAGGAAUAUUGGUCAAUGGGCGCAAGCCUGAACCAGCCAUGUCGCGUGCAGGACGACUGCCCUAUGGGUUGUAAACUGCUUUUAUAUGGGAAGAAAUGUAUCUACGAGUAGAUAUUUGCCGGUACCAUAUGAAUAAGCAUCGGCUAACUCCGUGCCAGCAGCCGCGGUAAUACGGAGGAUGCGAGCGUUAUCCGGAUUCAUUGGGUUUAAAGGGUGCGUAGGCGGAAGUGUAAGUCAGGGGUGAAAGUUUGCAGCUCAACUGUAAAAUUGCCUUUGAUACUGCAUUUCUUGAGUACAUUUGAGGUAGGCGGAAUGUGUUGUGUAGCGGUGAAAUGCUUAGAUAUAACACAGAACACCGAUUGCGAAGGCAGCUUACUAAACUGUAACUGACGCUGAUGCACGAAAGCGUGGGGAUCGAACAGGAUUAGAUACCCUGGUAGUCCACGCCGU